UCAUUGGAUGAACAAGCUGAAGUAAAUCAUGUGUUGACUUCGAAGCAUUUAUAAACUGUAGAACAUUAUAUUCUCAUCAGAGCCAUAGGGGCAGUAAACUAUAGUUUCUCUGUUGUGAAACAUGGUUUUGGUUAUGCACUGUGUUACUAGGGUUGUACUUAAACAAUAAUACAUCAUUUGUGGCACAUGUCGCCUUCUUUAUUGAAAGGCAAAACAAAGAGUUGAGGACAAAAAUCAUUACUACUUUAGCAAUUUUUCACAAAAUGCUUUUCUUUUGUACUUGACACACAGAUGGGACAUUGUACUGCAGUGCAAAUGAUGUAUAGCAGCAUGACAAAUUUCAUUUCCUUUAUAAAACAAGAAUCAGAAUAGUGGACGAAUUUGGAGAAAUGGUGUUAACUUUUUUUGCUAGUGUUAAAAUAAAUAGGAGAAUAAAUACAAAGUAAAAGAAAAAAAAGAGGUCUGCUCUGAAGGAAAAAUUCCUCUGGGAAACAAUUUGAGUCCUUUAAUUGUCUUGGAAGAUAUUGAUUAAAGUGCUUAAAUGAAAAUAUUGAAAACAAUAAACUCACUUGUGUUGGCUUUUGUAUUACCUUGAUAGUGAUAAUCCAUGGCCAAGGAAGAAAUUAACACAAGGUGAUACACAGAAGCUGGACUGAGAGAAACAAUAGAAGAUCAGUUUCGAGGAAAGCAAAGUAUAUUCUUAGCUCUGCUUUCUGUCAUAGAUUCUUCAGUGCUUCAAACAUGCUUUCUGGAUGUCUUUGGUGUCUGUAUGUACCAUCUUUCCCUCCAGCAAGAUGAAAGAUGCCUGACUAAAAGAAAUCCCAGGCUGAGAAACCUUGGUCCCUCUGUUGUUGCAGGUAAGGACUAAGAAAACGCUGCGUCACUAGGACAUCUUAAAAACCUAGAGGGACUGGUGGGGUAAUUGCUUCUUCUGUCUUCUAACUUAUUGUAGGUAGAAAUUUUUGUUCUCCUAGUGCAGACAUCUAAACUAAAUGAGAUCAGCCUUUUCAUUGACUCAGCAGCAGGAUUUGUCCCCAGAAUUAUUACUAUCUCCUUGAUUUAAAAUUUUCACUUUAUACAUUUGCUAUUUUUUAAAUUUUAUCAUUAGUCUUUUUAACUCUGUUACAUUGAAGUAGCUUGGUAUUGUGCCAUGUUUUUUGUUCUUGUUUUUCUUUUGUUUUGGUUUUGGUAGUGCUCAUCCAUUCCUGUCAGGGAACUUCAGAUAACUGAGACAUCAGACAAGGAAAAAUUGGAUCGUCUGUAAUUGUAUAGUUGGGAGCAGUUGGAAUAGUUGUAAUCACAUACAUUAGCUGCUAAAGUGCCUAUCAGGGAGUUCAACUAGAAGGAGAAUCUUGACAAUAGUAUUGAGGAGGUGAGAUCCCAAGGAUCACAAAGGAUACAGGAAAAGCUAAUAAUAAUUGUAUUUUGGAUCCAGAGAAAGAAAAGGUGUCAGGCAAAAAAAUAUGCUUCACAGAAGCUGUAUCUGCUUUCUAUAGGAAGAUGGAACAAGUCAGGACCAAGCCCUGUGAUAGCCAUAAACUGCCAGCUGUGGCAAAAAUCAUAUGAAUUAUAACUUGCUAUGGCUCGUUGUAUGUUGAUGCAUAAUGGAUAAUAAUUUAAUGAGAACCAGUCUUCAUUUGUUUUCCUUUUGAUAUACAGCUACACACCUAAGACAGUCUUGACCUCAUAGCACUUGCUAAUAUCCAACCAUAGUCUAGGAAUUAGUACAGAGCAGUGAACCCCAAGCUUCAAAAUGAGCAGCGUGUCAGGAGU
rnacentral:lncRNA from 1 species